rnacentral:lncRNA from 1 species
GUAAAAGAUGUGACUUCCAUGUCUAUGUAAUCGUCUUCUAGAUUAGCUGCCAUUUUUUUUAAUGUGUGUUUCUUCUUUUUGUAUUAUGUUUUAGUGAUUAGUGAUCUGAGUUAAGAGUAGAGGAUGUAUGUUUUAUAUAUGCGAGAGAGAGUUAGUGUUAGGUUUUUGAUUAGGUAAAUAUGGUACAACUGUGGAGUGUGGACCAAGUCGUGUUUUCAUUUUACGUACAUACAUCUAUGAUAAAAAC